GAUGAACGCUGGCGGCGUGCUUAACACAUGCAAGUCGAACGAAGCACUUUAAUUGAUUUCUUCGGAAUGAAGUUUUUGUGACUGAGUGGCGGACGGGUGAGUAACGCGUGGGUAACCUGCCUCAUACAGGGGGAUAACAGUUGGAAACGACUGCUAAUACCGCAUAAGCGCACAGGAUUGCAUGAUCCAGUGUGAAAAACUCCGGUGGUAUGAGAUGGACCCGCGUCUGAUUAGCUAGUUGGUGAGGUAACGGCCCACCAAGGCGACGAUCAGUAGCCGGCCUGAGAGGGUGAACGGCCACAUUGGGACUGAGACACGGCCCAAAACUCCCUACGGGAGCAGCAGUGGGGAAUA
rnacentral:rRNA from 1 species